GCCCGAAGUCUCGCUUGUCUAGAGAGGCUUUCAGGACCAAGCAAUCCAAAGAAGAUCGAAAAAUAAAGCUUAAAUAGGGGUUAUAGGGAUUAACUUUCAGAUGCAGAAUUUGUUUUGUCGUUUCCUUGCCGCCUCGGUCCAUUGCUGCUGCAAGGAGGGAUCCACGCCACAACAAAAAGCAACAAAGGCUGACGAAAAGAACUCGUCCUAAUGGAGAGUCCCUGAUGGGCUGCGUUUGUGUGCUUUCGUAGAGAAAAGGAGGAAAUGCACAACUUUGGACAUUCGUUCGCCUUUAGCUUUCGCGUAGGUUCUUCGAUAAAACUCCCCAACCAGCAGCCAGCAGUCAAAGGGAUACGGAUAGCGAAGAAAAAAUGGCUCUUCCUCUUUUGAAAGACAAGUAAACCCUUUUUAUUUUGCCAUCCGGCAACCAACAUCACAGCGGAAGAAUAUGGAGAAAUAAUAAUAACAGUCAAAUGCAAGAAGCUGUUAUACUUCCGCUGCAAUAAAGCUGGGGAAUCGAGUUCUUAGAAGAAAGAAAAAUGCAUAUUCUUAAAUUUAUUUUUGUAGUAGUUAUAUGUAUACUCACAUUGCUUUUAUCCGAUCGAUUUAAUUUCACUUUAUUAAUAUCUUUGCCUUCUGAAAUACAUGAUCGAUAUUGUGUAAGAAA